GUCGGGCAGGCCACCCCCCGACGAGGCCGAGGAAGGGAUUUGGCCCGGAUUUGGGAGGAGCACGGGGGCAGCGGCGGGCGCACGUGCGGCGGGCGAGCGGAGGAAGACGACGACGACGACGAGACGAUCUCCCGCGCGCGAGGCGGAUCCGACGGUCCUGGUGGGCCUCUCCACGGGGAUCGGGCGGCCGCCAAGCUGCCCGCAGAAACGCUGGGCGGAAGACAGCGACGGCACAGUAGAUUUCUGAUGCAGACGGAGACGGGC
rnacentral:lncRNA from 1 species